rnacentral:rRNA from 1 species
AGUCGAGGGGUAUAGGUUUUCGGACCUAGAGACCGGUGCACGGGUGCGUAACGCGUAUGCAAUCUACCUUUCACAGAGGGAUAGCCCAGAGAAAUUUGGAUUAAUACCUCAUAGUAUAACGACUCGGCAUCGAGAUGUUAUUAAAGUCACAACGGUGAAAGAUGAGCAUGCGUCCCAUUAGCUAGUUGGUAUGGUAACGGCAUACCAAGGCGACGAUGGGUAGGGGUCCUGAGAGGGAGAUCCCCCACACUGGUACUGAGACACGGACCAGACUCCCACGGGAGGCAGCAGUGAGGAAUAUUGGACAAUGGGCGCAAGCCUGAUCCAGCCAUGCCGCGUGCAGGAUGACGGUCCUAUGGAUUGUAAACUGCUUUUGCAUAGGAAGAAACAACUCUACGUGUAGAGUCUUGACGGUACUGUGAGAAUAAGGAUCGGCUAACUCCGUGCCAGCAGCCGCGGUAAUACGGAGGAUCCAAGCGUUAUCCGGAAUCAUUGGGUUUAAAGGGUCCGUAGGCGGUCUUAUAAGUCAGUGGUGAAAUCUCCCCGCUCAACGGGGAAACGGCCAUUGAUACUGUAGGACUUGAAUUAUUAGGAAGUAACUAGAAUAUGUAGUGUAGCGGUGAAAUGCUUAGAGAUUACAUGGAAUACCAAUUGCGAAGGCAGGUUACUACUAAUGGAUUGACGCUGAUGGACGAAAGCGUGGGUAGCGAACAGGAUUAGAUACCCUGGUAGUCCACGCCGUAAACGAUGGAUACUAGCUGUUGGAAGCAUUUCAGUGGCUAAGCGAAAGUGAUAAGUAUCCCACCUGGGGAGUACGUUCGCAAGAAUGAAACU